rnacentral:rRNA from 1 species
AGGUCCGCUAUUGUUUGCUAUACGUGCAAGUCGAGCGGUAAGGCCCUUCGGGGUACACGAGCGGCGAACGGGUGAGUAACACGUGGGUGAUCUACCUUGCACUUCGGGAUAAGCCUGGGAAACUGGGUCUAAUACCGGAUAUGACCUCUGGAUGCAUGUUUUCUGGUGGAAAGAUUUAUCGGUGCGAGAUGGGCCCGCGGCCUAUCAGCUUGUUGGUGAGGUAACGGCUCACCAAGGCGACGACGGGUAGCCGACCUGAGAGGGUGACCGGCCACACUGGGACUGAGACACGGCCCAGACUCCUACGGGAGGCAGCAGUGGGGAAUAUUGCACAAUGGGCGCAAGCCUGAUGCAGCGACGCCGCGUGCGGGAUGACGGCCUUCGGGUUGUAAACCGCUUUUGACAGGGACGAAGCGCAAGUGACUGUACCUGUAGAAUAAGGACCGGCCAACUACGUGCCAGCAGCCGCGGUAAUACGUAGGGUCCGAGCGUUGUCCGGAAUUACUGGGCGUAAAGAGCUUGUAGGCGGUUCGUCGCGUCGUUUGUGAAAACUUGGGGCUCAACCUUAAGCUUGCAGGCGAUACGGGCGGACUAGAGUACUUCAGGGGAGACUGGAAUUCCUUGGUGUAGCGGUGAAAUGCGCAGAUAUCAGGAGGAACACCGGUGGCGAAGGCGGGUCUCUGGGAAGUAACUGACGCUGAGAAGCGAAAGCAUGGGUAGCAAACAGGAUUAGAUACCCUGGUAGUCCAUGCCGUAAACGGUGGGUACUAGGUGUGGGGCUCCUUCCACGGACUCCGUGCCGUAGCUAACGCAUUAAGUACCCCGCCUGGGGAGUACGGCCGCAAGGCUAAAACUCAAAGAAAUUGACGGGGGCCCGCACAAGCGGCGGAGCAUGUGGAUUAAUUCGAUGCAACGCGAAGAACCUUACCUGGGUUUGACAUACACCGGAAACCUGCAGAGAUGUAGGCCCCCUUGUGGUCGGUGUACAGGUGGUGCAUGGCUGUCGUCAGCUCGUGUCGUGAGAUGUUGGGUUAAGUCCCGCAACGAGCGCAACCCUUAUCUUAUGUUGCCAGCGCGUAAUGGCGGGGACUCGUGAGAGACUGCCGGGGUCAACUCGGAGGAAGGUGGGGACGACGUCAAGUCAUCAUGCCCCUUAUGUCCAGGGCUUCACACAUGCUACAAUGGCCGGUACAGAGGGCUGCGAUACCGCGAGGUGGAGCGAAUCCCUUAAAGCCGGUCUCAGUUCGGAUCGGGGUCUGCAACUCGACCCCGUGAAGUUGGAGUCGCUAGUAAUCGCAGAUCAGCAACGCUGCGGUGAAUACGUUCCCGGGCCUUGUACACACCGCCCGUCACGUCAUGAAAGUCGGUAACACCCGAAGCCGGUGGCCUAACGCUAUGGAUGUGACGACGAGAGAGAGACGCACC